rnacentral:lncRNA from 1 species
GUUUUGUUUAUAAUGCUGUAUUUCCGGCUGCAGGAGUUACUGUAUUCCUCGGAGUUCUAAACAAACUUGGACCGUGUUUCUUCUACCUUUGGGUCCUACAGCAGAGGACUUUUCCGGUCCAGCGGCUAAUCAUGGCCAGCGAACAGCCGAGGGAAGACCCCGGGCCUUCCUCCGAGCCCGCCGAGCAUGACUACGCUCACUCCGCGGAGCAGAGCCUCACCUGUGCGGAGGAAACCUGUUCCUCCUCGGUGCAGACAGCUGGCUCUGGGUCUCUCUCCAUGGAGCUGCCGGAGCCGGCCGUGGGGGCUGAGGUGGACUGCCCGGUGGGGAACGAGGUGGUGGAGAAGGUGAAGUCGGUGAGCGGCCGCUCCAGGCGGGGAGCCCCGACCCCGGAGUGCCAACACUGCGCCUGCUGCCAGGCGGAGUUCCUGCGGCAGGGCCGAGGCUUCACCCGCAGGGCGGUGUUCACCUUCACCACCCCGGACUCCGUGCUGUGGGUGUUCCCGGGAUGCUGCGUCAACGACAAGUCGUACCUGUGCGAGAACUGCGCCAAAGUGAUCAGGAGCAAAUGUAAAAGGAAACAGGGCGGAAAGAGGCCAUUGUGGAUCAAACCGCCUGAAAACAAACCGUCACAGGUGAAAGAUAAGAAGACUCCGCUGCGUCGCAUGGGGAAGAAGAGCCAAGCGGCCCAGUUAGUCAGCAAAUCCAGAUACAAAGCAGCGUUCCAGAUGCUGUGGUCGGCCAAAGGAGCCCGAAAACCCAUGCUGGACUUCUGGAGCCAACAGAUGAAGAAGGAGAUGAAAGCUCUUUCCAGACACCCCAGCAGUCCGUUCCACCUGAAGGUUUCAGGACGUAAACCUCUGUCGUCGUUCCCAUGGCGACGAUGUCUGAACUGGGCUCAGGACAACGCGCCGCUAGUCGUCACCUGCCUACGAUCGCUGUUCCCCGAUGUGAAGGCUCUGUUUAAGAGCAGACACCAGCUAACAGAGGAGCAGGCCCUCACCAUGCUGGAACGCCGUACCGUGGUAGCGCUCUCCAUCCCGCUCUUCACACGCAACACCUGGAGGAACAACUAUCUGCAGGCGGCGUUGGGGGCGGAGCUUCGUCUGCAGGGCUGCUCAAGCUCCGCCCUGGACGUCUUGAAUCCGAUGGGACUGUGUCAGAACAAGGACACCAUCAGACUGCUGCUGCACAGGCUGCAGAAUGGCAAAGGAGAGGAUGAUGAACUCAACCAAGACAAAAUAAGAGAACUGAUGGGAAACAUGACAAAUGUAGAUAUGGAAGAGGAGGAUGAUGAGGAGGAGGAGGAGGAGGAGGAAGAAGAAGAAGAGGAGGAGGAGGAGGAGGAGGAGGAGGAGGAGGAAGAAGAAGAAGAGGAUGAUGAGGUAGAAGAGGUGGAAGUGGAGGUGGACGAGGAAAUGGUGAUGUCGUUGGGGGAGGAAGAAGUAAGAGAAGAAGAAGUCCAGGUGGAGGCGUCGGAGGAAGUGGAAAUGUUUCCAAAAGAAAAGAAAAAGAGACGAAAAAAGGCAAAGAAGCAGAAGAAGGAGGAGAAGAGGAAAGCUCAAGGCAAACGGAAGGUGAAGGAGCGUGAGGAAGAGGAGGAUGAUGAAGAGUCGGAGGAGAAGAAGAAGAGGGUGGUGGUGGUGAGGCUGGGCCUCCUCAAAGGACACUCAGAGGUCGGUCGAUCCGACCUAUCGGCUCCAUGACGCUGUGUUGGCUCCUCCCACAAACUGAACAAUCCAUACGUGCAAUCACAAAGCUGCACAGAAGCUCCGCCUCCUGCAGUGUGCUCAGGGGCAUUCUGGGAAAUGUAGGAGGGAAGCUGACCAGCGUUUAACCAGAGACUAAGUUAUUAGAUUCAGGGAGACUUCAAACAACAUGCAGAACUUUACACCUCUAAACAUUCACUUUUUAAAGAAAACACACAAAGUAAUCAGAUUACUUUUUUUUUUUUUUUUUUUUUUAAACUUCUGUUCAUUAUUCUACUUCUGAGUUAUUCUACUAUGAAAAACGAAUUCUCUAAAAUGGGAAGUUGCACCAAGACAAACUAUGACAAAUGUAAAAGCAAGUUGUAUAAAAACUGUGGAAUCUCAGAAAUAUCAAAUUUAACUUUGAUUGCAUUUAAUAUCCUGUAAAACACUUUUUUCGUGUAUUUGAUUUUUUUUUUUAAAGAUAAUCAACUGCCUGAAUCCCAAUUUUCCUUCAAUUUGUCCAAAAACUGGAGCGAUUACAAAGGAAAAAAAUGUAAUCAGAAUUAAAAGGAAAACCAAUAAUUUAGUUACUUUGAAAUUUUAUCUUUUUUUCUUAAAAUGUGUUAAAUUUUGGAAACGAAACUUAUUUUCUUUUAAGAAAAUAGGGAAAACAUAUUCUUUCUAAUGGUAGAUUCCUAAGAAAACUAAUAUUGAGGAAUCCGACAAAUGAGAAAAAUUGAAAUUUCCCAAAGAUAAACUUGCAUUAAUGUCCAAAAUCUUGGUCAAUUUUACUUCCUUUGCUUGUGUGUUACACAAAUCAAUUAGAAUUUCUUUUUUAAGAAAAAAUAAAAUGAGGUAAAAAAAAAAAAGAAAUUUUCCA